UGUGUAUAUAUACAUAUAUAUACAUACACAUACACACACACACACACACACACACACACACAUAUAUAUUACCUCCAUCACUUGUUAAAAGCUGUCUCUUCUCCAAUCACCAUCUUACUCCUCCAGUCUAGAGGGAGCUUUGCUUCUUUGAGCAGCCUCUCCCCUUUGUCCCAUCCCUCCUCUUAUCCCCCAGCCUCUGGGAACACCCUUUCUACUCUUCCUAGGAGGCUGACUCACUGUAACCUCACCUGUAAGCACUGUAUAUGUCUUUUGGGGUUUGGCUGUGUCACUUAGUUUUAUGUCCCUUAAUUCAUCCACUCAUAUUGUCUUGAGUAUCAAAUGGCCCUUUUAAAAAUGAUUUUUGUAUAUAUUUAAAAGUUUUGUGUACAGUGUGUCUGUCUUGUGUGUGUGUGUGUAAGUGUAUAUGAAUAUAGGUGCCUGUGGAAGGUAUCCAGUCCUCUGGAGCCGGAGUAACGGGUGGUUGUGAAUUGCCCCAUUGUGGAUACUGGAAAGUAAAUCUGGGUCCUCUACCAAGGCAUUGGGUGCUCUGAACUGCUGAGCCAUCUCUCCAGUCCCACCACAAUGUCCUUUUAAAAGGCUAUAUGGCCAGGUUUAGUAUCACAUAGCUUUAAUCUCAGCAGGUGGGAGACAGAGACAGACACUUGCUCUGUAAGUCUGAAGCUAGCCUGGUCUACAUAGUAAAUUCCAGGACAGCCAGAGCUACAUUGUAAGACUCAGUAUCAAUCAAUCAAUCAAUCAAUAAAAUAAAAAAAGCAAUAUGACAUUUCAUUAUUUCUACCCUCUUUUCUUUAUUCAUUCAUCCAUCGAUGGACACAAUGAUCUCAUAUCUUGGCUUUUGUGACUAACGCUGAGAUGACAUGCAGAGUACAGGUGUCUCUUCAACCUGAGGACUGAAAUUCCUUUGCAGUUGGCUAGAGAUGAGGUUUGCUGGCUUGUACUGUAUUGCUUUGAAAUAUGCAUAGAUUGCUGAAUGGUUAAAGUAAGCUAAUACCUGUCUAUACAUAAUUGCAGGGGCUCCUGCCUGUCUGUGGGGAGGAUCAGAAGGCUGGAGGAUGUAUUGAGAACAGAACAGACACAUACCAGGGUGAUUUUAGCAAAAGAUCAGGGCAGAAACAUCUAUUCUGAAGUGUUUCAAGGGCUGUGCAUGUUUUGAACUAGUGAUGCUUGAAUAAAAAUCUCUCUCAUAUAUAUAUAUGUAUACAUAUACAUAUAUAUGUAUAUAUACUUACAUUGAAAGCUGUUCUCUGAUUUAAUAGGAAACACGUCUGCUUUUGACUGCUGAAAACAUUUGCUAGCAAAAUGGCUUCCAGCAGGCCAAGCCAGUCCCCGGGGAAGGAGUCAGAACUCAAGAUCUAGAGAUAAGGGAAGCUGGCCGGAGAGCUCUGUGGGCAGCCUUGGAGCAUGGCUGCUUUAAUCCUGGAUCAUCCAGGAUCCAUGGGUGAUGGUCCAGGAGAGUGGUGCUUUAAAAAUAAAGGACCGUGGUAAGGAACAGGCCUUCAACUACACAGGAGUGUUGGGUAAUCUGCGAUUGCAGAGUUGGUCUUACAUUCCCUGGAACUAUUUGUACUGAUUUCUAGAACCCAGACUUCUUCAUUGCAACCUGGAGGGCAAUUGCUGGCCAGCAGUGAUGCUAUCAGAUUGGGAGUGGAGAGACCCAGGUGCAAAGAGAAUCACCUGCAUAGACAUGGUCCUGUGGAGCAGCUUUCGGUCUUUUGGUUUUGCAUGCUGGGAAUGAAACUCAGGGCCUUGCAAACGCUAGGCAAACUGGAGCAUAAUUCAGACUGGUAGGGGGAAUUCUAGUGGUCUGAUGAAAGAAUUUACCCUUAAGACCGUAGUAGAAAGAAAAUAAGCUUGUUUGGUACAUUUCAAGAAAAGCCGUGAGCACAGAGUAAUGCUCGGGGCAGGGAGGCCUUCAGUUUGAGAGAGUCCAUGUUCGUGCCGUAAGAUGAACCACUUUGCACUAAUUUUCCAUCAGUAAUUCCAGUCACAUAAACGAAGGCAACCCUCACUGGUUGGUGCUUCAUCCUGGGCUGUGUUUUUCAGGGUGAGCCACCAUGCAAGCCAUUCCCAGCAUGAACCUCCUGCCCUGCAGAUGAGGGCCACUGUGUCGAAUGUGUAGCUGCUGCUCAUUCUGCCCCGCCUCACCCUUCUGCUACCCCACUGUUUGGGUGGAAUAGAGCGGUGAUCGGUGGCCUUUUUUGUCUUGUUUUCUGUUUGGGGGAUACUUGCCAAACCAGUCUGGCACUCAGGUCUUUUUGUUGUUGUUGUUGCUUGGUCCUGGCCUUCUUCUCCCAACAUUGAUCAACCUAAGAAUAGCCCUGGGACCCCCUGCAACUGUGACUGCCCAGUCCCCAUCCUGAAGCAAAGAUCUCCAGGAACCUCUUGAGUGUGGGACAGAUAACCUCACGAAGCCCCGGUUAAGUUAGACCAUGACACCGCACAGCUCCGUGCUCAAUGAGAGAGGGAAUCUGGUAUCUAAUACGGAUGGUUCUGUGUAGAUGGGAGGAGACCGUGCAUGCAUGCCGCUUCAUCCACUGCCCAGAUCAGGGGAAGUGCUGGGCAAAGGCCAGUCUUUGUCACUAGCUCAGCCUCCCUGAGGGUCAAAUAAAAAACUCCUAAAAAAAAGCAGGGUGUCUCUCAUAGCUACUAAAGGGAAGGCACGCAGGUUUAUUUGAGGCAGACAAGCAGAUAGACAGACUCACAGACGCUAAGCCCGAAGUGGUGUUGCAUUUUUGAGCAUCUAUGGGCUUGGCUUCCUCAGGACAGCUAUCCUAGCUUUCUCAGACCUGCAGGCACCCAGCAGUCUAUUUGAAAUGGCAGGUGAUCUCUAUUUGUUGGUUGGUUCGUUCAUUUCUCCCUUUUUUUCUUAAUCUCCGUAUGAUUUGUGUGCUUAUAUGACAUGUGAGUUGUGUCUAUAUGAUGUAUGUGUGAGCGAGGGCAUGAACAUUUCAUGAAAUGUAUGUGGCGGUCAGAGAUCUACUUCUGGCUGCCCUUCUUGCUUUCUACCAUGUUUAAGGUGGUGAUAGGGGUGGAAUGAGGGUGGGGUGUGUGUGUCUCCUUGAUGCUUCUCCCCUUCGUGUUCCAGGCUUUCUGGACCCUCCAGAUUCCAAUUCUGGCUUUUAUGUGGGUUCUGGGAUUCGAACUCAGGUCCUUAUGCUUACAUAGCAAGCCUUUCCCCCAUGGAGCCUUUCCCUCAGUCCUUCUCUCCUUUUCAAUCGUUUACCCUCUGAGUCUCCAUCUCUGCUGCCAGGAUGGUGGGAUAAGUAUUAAAGAAUGAUACUGUUGGUGGGGGCCGUGGAUGUGGCUGGGUGGCAGAGUGCAUGAUCAGCAUGAGGAAGGCCCUGAGCUUUGCCCCCAUCAUCAAUCAAUAAGUACAAACUUGAAAAGUAGAUAGAGACUGGCUGGGGAGACAGUUCAGCUGAUUAAACGGCUUGUCUUACAGGUAUGAGGACCUGAGUUCAAACCCCAGCCCCGAAUAAACCACCACUGGUGGCACACACAUGUAAUCUCAGUGGAGAUGGGAUCAGAAUUCCACAAGCAUCCUGGGUUUGAGUUCAAGGACAGUCUGGGACGGAGACCUUGUCACCAAAUAAAAGGCAGGGGUGCUGAGUUUCACUUUCAGCUGCCUUGACCUUGACUUAUUUGGACUGAAAAGUCCCCUACACUAUAAGAACCAGUAGACUUAUUCGGCCUGACAGGAACUGCCAGCCACAGAUCGUCAUUUGCAUUUUAAUUAAUUACAACAGGAGGAAAGACUCAGAUUUCCAGCCGCAUUCCAAGUAGUGGCCUUCCAAGGACUCAGUGGUCACAUGGGCUGGAGGUUCCAUGUGGGGCUUGAGAGAUAGCAGCUCCAGCCUUCCAGACGGUCCUGCAGGCCAGUUUCCUGCAGUGGAGUGAGGGCAGACCAGGGUAAAAUCCAGGGCAGGGACCAGGAGAGAGCAGCAGAAACCUAUGAUAAACUUUGCGGUGGACUGGUCCCUCUUCUCACAACAUGACCUUCAUCUCAUGACAACAUAGAUUUUCUCUGAAAAUGACUGGAAAGGCCAAACAUGGAGUCUUCCAGAAUGCCAGACACACAGGCCUUACUCACCCAGAGCUUCUGAGAGUGACAGGUGACUAGCCGUCUGCCCUCAGUGCGAGCUGACCCGAGCAGGGCUCUUGAGUAGGAGUUCCACACUAACACAGUGUCUUUGACCCGAUGUCCCGUAGGAAGAGCCUCCUGCUACUUCUUAGGCUCAGGAGACAUUUAUAGGGGAAACUGGAGAACAUGUCAAUACAGUCCCUCAUUUACAAAUGGAGAGGAUAAAGCCACAGCCGAAAGAAGUAGGGGCCUGGCAAGUGGCAAUGAAGAGCAGAAAUGAAAACCACACCACCCGUCACCACUGCAAAUCGACUUCUGGGAAUUUAUUUAGCUGCAUGAACGUAACUGUAUAUUGCAAAUGGUCAUGAUAUUGAAUAAUUGAAGCAGUUAUUCCCCUCUCUGUCUAGGUGUAAGAGAGUGCAUUAAGUGAACUGUGUCACAGUAAUAUAAUAUUAUGAAGGGCAGAAAACCUGUUACUUAGAUUUGCAAAUCCUGGCAUGGAAAGGUGUCUGGUGUGUUAGUUUGAAUAGGAAUAGUCCCCCAUAGGCUCAUAUGUUUGGAUGUUUGUCCCUAGUUGGUGAAACUGUUUGGGAAGGAUUAGAUGAUGUUGCCUCUUUGGAGGAGAUCUAUCACUGUGGGUGGGCUUUGAGGUUUCAAAACUCUACACCAUUCCCAAUUGGUUCUCUCUGCCUUAUGAUUGUGGAUCAAGAUGUAAGCUCUUAGCUACUACUCCAGCGCCAUGUCUGUCUGUCUGUCUACUGCCUUGCAGCAUCUCUGUCUUUUCUUGCUAGGAUUCCUCUCCCUCCAGAUAGUUCUUCCUUCUGCCACGUGGCUCUUGGAACCGAGCAGUCAGGCUUACUGGCUGACCUUUGACCUUUGUGUGUGCCACGACACAUGUGACCAUAUGUGUACAUGAGCGUACAAUACAAAAAUAAAUAAAUAGGGGGAAAGAAAGAGGAAAAUCCAGCUAUGGGAAGCUGCAGAGCCAAAGCACCUUUUUUUAUGAUGAGCUAAAAGCAGUCUCGAGUGGGUACAGUAUGUGUUUGGAGGUGCUCAGACAAAGGCUCUAGAAAGAGGCAGCUCUGGCUGGGUGGUGUAGCAGUGGCCCACGCCUUUAAUCCCAGCAUUUAGGAUGCAGAGACAGGGUAGAUCUCUUAGUUGGAGGCCAGCCUUGUCUAUGGGAUGAAUUCCAGGAUAGUCAGGGCUAAACAGAGAAACCAUGACUUGAAAAGAGGCAGCUCUGAAGAUGCCCCGGGUAUGUUUGGUUUGAGCCUGUGCCCUAUGGCUGUGAGCUUAUGUAAUGACUGGUGAUCUGCUGCAACAAAUGGUCUGCUGAGGUAAGCUGGAUGCCACCUUGAGUGUGUGACAAUCCCAUGAGACAGGGUUGUAUCCUCGGGUUUCAGCCUCCCUGGGUAGCUAUGGAUGGUCUUGAACUUCUAUCUAUCUCCCCAGUACUGGGAUUACAGGUGUAAACCCCAUACCAAGUUUAUGCGCUUCUGGAGAUUGAACUUCCAGCUUCAUGUAUGCCAGGCUAUUAAUAACUCUACCAACUGAGACACCUCCCGGGCUCUCCCACCAUAUACUUGCCUCCACAUUCAUUUGUCUGGUCCGCUGCCUCCCGGCUGCUGUCUUGCGAACACACUAUGCUUUCUUUAACCUAUUUCGUGGAAUGCCCACCCUACUCCAUCUCCUCUCCGCCUCUGGGUGGUCUUUUAAGAUCUGCCCUGAACACCUGCUCAUUUUCCUACUUCCUCUCCUUUAUAUACCAAGAAUCUGGAGCGUGACGUCAGUGCUCCCAUAGUGCCUUGCGCUUGGCCUGUGCGCUCCCAUGCCGCCCAGCACUUAUUGUGUGCUAGGCUGUGACACUGUCUGUAACCAUUGUUCUCCUUGGCUCCCGUGCUAUUCAAGACUGCGCUUACUUCAUCUUGGUAUUCAUGUAAGAAGAAAAGGGUUGGAUUCUGCUGCUGUCUGAUAAAGCUAAGGACUCAGGAGACGCCACCGUAACAGGGGGAGAAAGAACUUGAUUUCUUUCCAGAGGCUAGCCUCACUUCGCAUAUCAUUCCUCUGAAAUUCACAGUGUGGCUGUGCCAGAUGUUGGGUAAGGGGGAGGGGUCUUUGCUUAUGAAGAAGAGUAAUCUCCCACUGUGCCUGCUAACCUGCAGAGAUCUCCUCCAGUGUAGGUGCUACCCCUUUUUUCUGUUUAUGGCCUGCUGAUGUUCCUGCCGCGGUGGUCAGUAGGUCUCUUUAGCUCAAUGGUUAAGUCUGCAAAGGAGAUGAGGAUAAUAGGAAGGCAGAUUCCAGGUCUUUUCAUGCUGUCCCUCUCACCCUGUCGGGCACCCACUGGUCUGUGGCCACCAAUCCAUGAAAAGUCACCCAGAUGAGGGUCAUGAUCCUAGCUGCACAGCAGGGCUGCUAUAUGCAGCUAAUGGGGGCACAGUGAGGUAGAGUCCAGGUAGACAGGGCUUCAUGUGCCUUUGUGUGGCAUGUUUCCAGCCAACCCAGACCUGUAUGUGACUGAUGGCACUCUGGAGCGGUUUAUGACCAGACACAGGGAGAGGAAGUGGGUGGGGCGGAGGGGCAGCUUGGCUUGCGCUCUCUGCCUUCUCUCCCCAGUGGCCUCACUUGGGUGGAAGAUGUGGUCAGAGUGUGAGAGAGGCUUCCAUGGCGGAGCAGACUGUGAGGACAGGCUGUGGCUUCCUGUCGCUUCCUCUCCAGCAACACCCAUGGCGCUUGCCUCUAUGGGAACACCAUGGAACCAGGGUUGGAGGAUCUGGUGGCAGGCUAUGCAGUGAUGGUAGCUUCCUGGCCUGGAAACAGCCACACGUGAAGAGUGUGGCUCAUUGUUUUGACUUUUGGUCCUGCAGCUGUGGGAUGGUUCAGAAACCGCCGUGUAGGUCUAGGCAGCCUGAGCAUGAGUGACUGAGAAGCUAGGGGCUCCCCCCACUCCCACCCCUAUGUGGAGAGAGUAGAAUGAGGACGCUACCAGGGAGUGACCUUGCCUCGGUGGUUUUUGAAUAUUGCAGUGGGGGAGCUGAUGUUUAAACGGGAUGUGCUUUUAUGCCACAGGCACCGAGCAAGCGACUGCUUGAGAGCUUCAGGGUUUGAAGGGAGCAGAAGAACUUGGAGAGAGGAGUCUUCUCAUCAGCGGUUCUUAGCCAGGGAUGCCUCAUACUGAGGACAAACCAGGAGGCAGAUGUAAAUGGCCACAUUCAAGUUUGUAUUGAGACAUGAGACUAUUGUCUUGGAACUUUCCUUAUAACUAAUGAAGAGUUUGGUUCUUAAAAUGCAAUUUGCAGGGGGCCAGAAGAUUAUUCAGUUGGACCUGGGUUCCAAACCCAGAACUUUUCUUUUUUUUUUCUCCAUUUAUAGCCAGACAUACUGGCAGGUACUUAUAAUUCUAACUCUGGGGAGACAGAGGCAGGCAGGUCUCUAGGGCUUGCUCUCUGGCCAGCUUAGCUUAAUUUGUGGGUCCCAGGCCACUGGGAGAGAGGCCCUGUCUGUAGAAAUAAAGUAGGUCGCUGUGUGUGGUGGUACACAGCUUAAACUCCAGCACUUGGGUGGUAGAGGCAGGCGGAUCUCUGAGUUCAAGGUUAGCUCGGUCUACUUAGCAAAGUCCAGAUAAGCCAGGUGUACCCAUCGAGACCUUUCUAUGUAUUUCAGAUAAGCUUCUAAAACACUGUUUCCCUAUGGUUUUUCACACAUCCUUAGCUCCCUUUAUAUUAUGUCUCUCUUCACUUUCCUACUUAAAAUGCACUCUGUGUUUCCCCUUUUCCCUUCAUAGCACCUGCAUCAUAUUAUCCCCAUCUCUAGAGCUCCUUCCUCCCCCUCAUUCCCCAUGGUCCCUUGUGCUUUCCUGGUCUUUGCAGUUACUUAGGUUAUACAGACAAAUCCAAAGGUUCGGAGCCGGGACCCACACACAGGAGAGAGCAUUGCAGCCUUUGUUUUUCUUGGCCUGUGUCACCUCACUUGGUACAUUUUCCAGCUCCACCCAUUAAUUUUCAAGUUUUAGGAGUUUUGUUUAGGUAAUCUAUCCCUGGCAAUUCUGGUAUAUAAACUGCACCGCCAGCUAGGACUUAGCGCAGCGGUUCUCAGUCUAUGGGUCUCGGCCCUUGGAAACUCAUCUUCAAGGGUGUUUACAUCAUGAUUCGUAACAAUAGCAUAAUUGCAGUUAUAAAGUAGCAAUGAAAUGGUUUUAUGGUGGGGGGGUCACCACAACACGAGGAACUGUAUUAAAAGGUCACAUGGCACUAGGAAGGUCGAGAACCACUGACUUGAAGUGUGAGGAAGUUACAGGUAGGCAGGGGUCUGGGUUGUUCACCAGGCUAAGCUGGUGCCACCUCAUCUAAGGUAGGUAUCCUGGGAGUAUGGGGGAUACACAGGCUGGUAGGGAUCUGAGACCCUCACUUGGCUGGGUCAGUCAGUAUAUAAACUGUGACCCCAGCUGGAUGUGGGAGUAACACAGGCAUCACAGGCAGGGACCUGGGGCAUUCACCUGACUGGACUGGUGCUUAAGUUUGGUGGCUUCCCCUAGGCCUGGGGGUGUGGGGACAUCAUAGUAAGUGACGUUCUGGGCUACAGGCUGUGAGACUUGAGCUAGGACCUGAGAGAUGCCUGACUUGAUGGCCAACAUCCCAUACGGUGGUGGUGGUUUAUUUUAGUAGACAGUUAUUUGGGUGUGUGAAGCAUAUCACAGAUGGUGUGGGGGAAGAAGACCCAGCACGAGCAGGUCACUUUGGCUUUCCGCUCUCUGACGUUUCAUCUUAGAAGGUAUAUUGGGGUUACGUUAUGAUUGUUAGGGCCUAUUACUAAGUCCUGGGUUGUGUGAGUUCUUAAAAAUGUGUCUUGAUGGGAAAGGCUCCCUGAAGCAGCCAUUCUCUAUCACAUCUUCCCUUCCCUUCAUUUCCCGUGUCCACCAACCUCUCUCCCCUUGCCUUGCUGUUGCAGAGAGAGAGAGAGACAGAGACAGAGACAGAGACAGAGACAGAGACAGAGACAGAGACAGACUGACCCCUAACUUUUGUCUUCCACAAACAGAUCUCUGUCUUUGCAUUUUUGUUGGGUUCUUUCCUUGUUUCCUCUGGGAACCCCUUCCCUGGAACACUGCUUCAUAAACGUGGCUCAAGAGAUUGGAGAGUGUAGCUCAAUGGAAGAGAACUUGCCUAGCAUGGGAGCCUGGGGUCCCUUCUCAGACAAAUGAAAGUUUAAAAAGUGAGAGAUAACUUGGAAUCCAUUCUCAGGGCUUUACCUGAGCUUCCAGCAGGUUAGUACGCAUGUCCAGGGACUGUGGUGUCAGUGAAAACAUUUGGUACCAUUUUCAGACACCUAGGAAGAUGGAGUCUCAACACGUGCUUUCUCAGCAGGUCAGAGCAAAAGCAGACUGGCAGCUGUCCACUUUAAGAUACUCCAUGUGACUAGGAUGUCUGAAUAAUCGACAAGUGCCCUGCUCCUGAAGGAGGACCAACAGGAACUCUCACUGAUGGCAGCAGGCUGUGGUGUUCCGAGAGAGUAAUGGUCAAAGGUGUGCUGCAGGAGUGUGGGUCAUAAAAAUACAUUAUUCGAAGUGUAAACUCACAACGAACCCAAGAUAUAAUAGCGAACGAGGCCUAGGGUGAUGCCUCAGUCGGUGCUUGCUGUCCAGGCAGGAGGACAUAACUAACCUCGAUCCCCUAGAACCCAGGUAAGCAUACCAGGCACAGUGGCACGUGCUUGCAAUCCCAGCCUGGUGAGGAGGAUACACAUGCAUCCCUGGGGCUUGCUGUCCCGUCAGCCUAGCCUACUUGGUGAGUACCAGGUCCCUGAGAGGCUUGUCUCCUAAAAACAAGGUGGCUGUCAUCUGACAGGUGAGUUGUCCACUGGCUUCCACAAAUAUGUGUGCAUGUACAUGAUGAACACUCGCACACAAAAGAGUGAUAUGAUAAAAAUAAGAAAAAGGAGAUAAUAAAUGAGGUAAUAAAUAUUAGUAGAAAACAUUUUAAAUGAGAUUUUUACCACCCCCAAACCCAGCCCACCCUCCAGGCUAGGUGACCUCUGGGGAUUCCUUAGAGAGGAGCCAUGUGCUCACUUUGUGGCUUAAGACUUUAGCUUGGAGCCUUCAUUAGCGGUCGGGGUGUGAAGGGCUGUGGAAAUGAACAGUUAGCACGCGCUCAGGCUGGUGCCUGAGAUCAGUGGAUAGGAAAAUGUGAAUUUCAAGUUUGUGUUUCCACUGCUAGCCUCAAGGGCCUCAGGUGGCACCCCCACCCCUACCUACACAUCCUUCUCACUUCCUUCCCAGCCAGGAGUCCUCACAGGGUAUAGUACCUUGACUAGUGUCUCUCCAGGUUGAGUGGAGCUCACAUCUUGUCAAAAGCAUCGCUAGGAGCAGAAUAAGGAACAGCCUGAGAGAUACAGAAAGGACCUGGCCUCCUAAUGACCACUUGAGACAGUAGAGCAAUUGUCCUUUAACUUUGUGAUUCUAAGGAGUUACAUUCAGACUUCAAACCUGGCUGAUAGGGAAAGGCUAAUUGGGGGCUGGAGAUGCAGCUCUGUGGGAGAGUGCUUGCCCAGCAUGCAAGAAUCAACAAACAAACAAACAGACAGAACCAAAGAAACAUUGUUUCCAUCUAGACUUUGUACCUCCGAGGUGUGCAGUCUAUCUUAGAUUUUGAUUGCUGUGGUAAAACACCUUGAUCAAAAACCCCUCCAGAAAGAAAGGUUUCGUUUUGUUUAUACUUGCAGAUAACAGUCUAUCACCGAGGGAAGUCAGGGCAGAAAUCUGAGGCAGGAACCUGGAGGCAGGAACUGAAUGAAGCAGGGUCAUGGAGGGGAUGCUGUUUACUGGAUUGCUCAGCCGGCUUUCUUAUACACUUCAGGACUACGUGCCCAGGGGCGGCACUGCCCACAGUGAGCUGGGCCCUCCCAUGUCAAUGACUAAUCAAGACCACACCCCUACAGAUUUCCUAUAGGUUGACCCUAUGGAGGCAUUGUCUCCAUUAAGAUCCCCUCUCUAAGCUGGGUCUAGGUUUGUAUAAAGUUGACAAACCCAACCAGUACACAGCCCUACCAGGCUUCAGAUGUUGCUUGUGCAAAAAUAGCUUGGGGGAACUCAGGCCUCAGUGCUCAGCCAAGGUGUAGCAGCCUUUGGAUCCUGUAAUCAAGAGCUUCCCUCCAGGACCGGUUGUUCUCCUGUUGUGGUCAAGAUGAUCUCCAAACAUAGUCUCUUCUGACAUUUGGUGGCCACAGAGUCACCAGGCUCAGCCUGGUGUCCUGGAACCUGUUAAAGAUUCCUUGGUGUCUAGAAAGGUACCAUCCAGGGAUACCUGGAGUCUGGAUGCCCACAUCUAAGGAAGUACCAGGCCCAGCAGAGAGUAGGGUAAAACUUUUAUUAGCCUGUGGGAUAUGACAUUCCUGAGUCUAAUUAUCAAAUUUUGAACAGAGUAUAGAAAGACACAAGAAAAUCCUUGCUAUAGAGGUAGUUUAUUUUAUUUUUUAUUUUAAAAAUAUUUAUUUAUUUACUUAUUUUUAUGCAUUGUUUUGCUGAAUGUAUGUAUGUCUGUGGGAGGGUGUCAGACCCAGAACUGGAGUUAGAGACAGGUGUGAGCUGCCAUGCGGGUGCUGGCCAUUGAAUUCAGGUCUUCUGGGCGAGUAGCCAGUGCUCUUAACUCUGAGCUGUCUCUCCAUCUCUUAUUUACUUUUUUAUCAUCACAUUUUAAACUCUUCCUGGCUCUCUCUGAUCUUCUCACUUGCCCUCUCCCAUUUGUCAAAUGUUUGCCAAGGUGUUGGGAUUUUUCUGAAAGCCACACCCUUCUGCAGACAUGUCCUCUCUCUUCGGAGGUGUGAGACAAACUCAAGUUGUGGCUUCUUCAAUGAGUGUGUGGCCUUGGAAGUUUGGCUUAGAGAGGCAACUGCAAAGACUGGGAUAGCACAGUCCUCUGUCACCUCUGUUGCGCCCAGUGGGUUGUCAGGACACAACAUCAUGGUGUCGCCAACUGCUUCGUGGUUUACAGAAAGAUGCCUUACCUUGCUUUUGCUUUUCACAGCUGUGAAAUAAACAGUGCUUUACAGGCAAAAAUGGAAGGGCAGAGAGGUGAAGGGGCGUGUCUCAAGAUGCAGAUAACGGAACGAGCUUGUCUGCAACCACUAGGACGAUGCUCUCUUCCCAAUGGACACAGCCAGCCUUUUCCAGAGCAAAAGAAACCUGAAGAGAAUCUGAAGCAUUUGGCAAAUGGCUGAGUCCCCCGGCUUCUCGCCCAGUCUCCAUUCGCCCAUAAGCUCUGUUCCUAGCUCAAGGACUGCCUCUCCAGUGAUGCAGGCCUCUGCUUCUGGGUUCUCAGAGGGAUUUCUGCUGUAACCGUGUCCACCUUUUGGAGUGACCAGAGGCAUUGUCCGACUAAGUUCCAGCCUUUCGGCAUAACAGUUGUGUUUUACAGAAUACAGAGUUCAUGCUUAAGAACCUUGCAAUCUAGUUAUAUAUGUUUUUAUAUGUCACACACACACACACACACACACACACACACACAGAGA